rnacentral:rRNA from 1 species
ACGAACGCUGGCGGCGUGCUUAACACAUGCAAGUCGAACGGAAAGGCCCUGCUUUUGUGGGGUGCUCGCGUGGCGAACGGGUGAGUAACACGUGAGUAACCUGCCCUUGACUUUGGGAUAACUUCAGGAAACUGGGGCUAAUACCGGAUAGGAGCUCCUGCUUCAUGGUGGGGGUUGGAAAGUUUCGGCGGUUGGGGAUGGACUCGCGGCUUAUCAGCUUGUUGGUGGGGUAGUGGCUUACCAAGGCUUUGACGGGUAGCCGGCCUGAGAGGGUGACCGGCCACAUUGGGACUGAGAUACGGCCCAGACUCCUACGGGAGGCAGCAGUGGGGAAUAUUGCACAAUGGGCGGAAGCCUGAUGCAGCAACGCCGCGUGCGGGAUGACGGCCUUCGGGUUGUAAACCGCUUUCGCCUGUGACGAAGCGUGAGUGACGGUAAUGGGUAAAGAAGCACCGGCUAACUACGUG